UUUCCGUAGGUGAACCUGCGGAAGGAUCAUUAUUGUAUAACCGAGGGGCGAGGACUGUCUCUUACCCGAAAGGUCGUGCACGCCCCAGUGCCCUCCCACACAUCCAUCUCACCCCUCUGUGCACCACCGCGUGGGUCCCCCUUUGGCUUGUUCGGCGGGGGGCUUACUUUUUUACACAAACUUUGUAUGCAGUGUAGAAUGUAUUUUUUGUUUUUGCGUUCACGCAAUCAAUACAACUUUCAACAACGGAUCUCUUGGCUCUC
rnacentral:misc_RNA from 1 species